rnacentral:rRNA from 1 species
UGAGGAAUCUUGCGCAAUGGAGGAAACUCUGACGCAGCCACGCCGCGUGCAGGAAGACACCCCUCAGGGGCGUAAACUGCUUUUAUACGGGAAGAAUGCCCUGGUCGCCAGGGAGAGACGGUACCGUACGAAUAAGGACCGGCUAACUCCGUGCCAGCAGCCGCGGUAAUACGGAGGGUCCAAGCGUUGUCCGGAAUCACUGGGUGUAAAGGGUGUGUAGGCGGGCCUGUAAGUCAGGGGUGAAAGCCACCGGCCUAACCGGUGAAUUGCCCUUGAUACUGCAGGCCUUGAGUCCCGGAGAGGUCACUGGAAUUCGUGGUGUAGCGGUGAAAUGCGUAGAUAUCACGAGGAACGCCUGAGGAGAAGUCGGGUGACUGGACGGGUACUGACGCUGAGGCACGAAAGCGUGGGGAGCAAACAGGAUUAGAUACCCCCGUAGUCC